CGCGCGGCGGAGUUCGGGACGCAGCGCUACAGCCGGGGAUCGGUCCCGGCCCGCUGCGGCGCUGCGCGGGGGAGGCCUCGCGGGCCUCCGGCUCGGCAGGGCCCGGCCGGCACCCCCAGCCCCCCAGCGGCCGCCCCCGCCGCAGGCCCCAGGCGCGCCCCCAGCGAGCGGCGCCCCGCCGGGGACGCGCAGGCCGCCACCACGCGCCGGGCUCCCCCGGGCCCGCGAGCCGGCCCCGAAAGCCCCGAGAGGCGCGUGAGGGGGCUUCGGAACCCGCCGGGCGCCGAGCAGCCCCCUCCGCAGCCCCCGAGCCCCGCUCACCGCGUCCCCGCCGAGGCCGCUCCCUCCCCUCCGCCGCCUGCGGGUGCCCGCCGCCGGUGCACGCGGGGCGGGGCGGGGCCCGGCCGAGGGCGGAGGCGGUCGCUGAGGGGAGGAAGGGAAAAGCGGGCACGGGAGCUGUUCCCGGCCCGGGGACGCGGAAGCCUUCUCCGAGCUCCUCCCGGCCGGUCUCCCCGGCACCGUGCUGCGGGUCGGGAGCGGGGACACGGGGGAGCCCACAGGGACGCGGGGAGCCGGGGGACUCUGUUGCUGCCAACGGCGCUGCUCGGUGCCGGUAACGGCCCGGCACGGCCAAGGGGCAGCGGCGGGAGCCAAACUUUCUCCCGGGGCGGAGCGGGAGCCCCCGGGUGCGGCGGGGACAUGGUCCGGGGGGGCGGGAGGGGAACACGGCCCUGGGCGCUGCCCCCGCCGCUCUCCUGCCUCCCGGCGCCCCGGCUCGUUUCGAUUUCGUUUCCCGGAAAGAUCGCGCCGAAGCCGCAGCGGCCGCAGGAGCGCGACCCGCGCGCGCCGGGCACCGGGGCGGCGCCGAGCUCCGCGGGGUGUCGGGGCCGGGGCAGCGCCGAGCCGCGGGGGCACCGGGGCAGCGCCCAGCACCGCCGCGGGGAGCGGCGAGCCGGCGGCAGCGGGGAUGCAGGUAAGAGCCCGCAGCCCUCGCUCCCCCCGGGCUCGCCGCUGGGGCUGAGGGGCACCUGA
rnacentral:lncRNA from 1 species